rnacentral:rRNA from 1 species
CCAGAGCUACAUACCACCCUGAAGGUGCCUGGUGUUAGAAGCUGAGCACGGAUGGGCUUGUUCAGUACUUGGAUGAGAGAAACCAAGCCCUGGU